rnacentral:rRNA from 1 species
GACGAACGCUGGCGGCGUGCCUAAUACAUGCAAGUCGAGCGGAAGUUGGAGAGCUUGCUCUUCAACUUUAGCGGCGGACGGGUGAGUAACACGUGGGCAACCUGCCCUGCAGAUCGGGAUAACUCCGGGAAACCGGUGCUAAUACCGAAUAGUUUUCGCCACCUCCUGGUGGCGUACGGAAAGACGGUUUCGGCUGUCACUGCAGGAUGGGCCCGCGGCGCAUUAGCUAGUUGGUGGGGUAACGGCCCACCAAGGCAACGAUGCGUAGCCGACCUGAGAGGGGGAUAGGCCACACUGGGACUGAGACACGGCCCAGACUCCUCCGGGAGGCAGCGGUAGGGAAUCUUCCGCAAUGGACGAAAGUCUGACGGAGCAACGCCGCGUGAGUGACGAAGGUUUUCGGAUCGUAAAACUCUGUUGUGAGGGAAGAACAAGUACCAACUAACUACUGGUACCUUGACGGUACCUCACCAGAAAGCCACGGCUAACUACGUGCCAGCCGCCGCGGUAAAAC